rnacentral:miRNA from 1 species
AGACCCUGCAGCCUUCCCACC